rnacentral:rRNA from 1 species
UACGGAGGGUGCGAGCGUUGUUCGGAAUCACUGGGCGUAAAGGGCGUGUAGGCGGUCCGCUAAGUCUGAUGUGAAAGCCCGGGGCUCACCCCCGGAAGGGCAUUGGAAACUGACGGACUCGAGUCCCGAAGAGGAGGGUGGAAUUCCAGGUGUAGCGGUGAAAUGCGUAGAUAUCUGGAGGAACACCGGUGGCGAAGGCGGCAUCCUGGACCAACACUGACACUGAGGAGCGAAAGCCAGGGGAGCAAACGGG